GACAGAGAGCUCGCGGUGGGGGAAAAGACAGGCGCCGCCGUGCUGCACGAAGCUAUCGCCGCCGUUCCUACCGCCGGUAAGCCUCGGUUAGCACCGCCGAAGCUCCGGCCGUCACCGUCGUUGAGGAAGCUCACCGGAGUUGCUGGAGGUUGCCGCCGCUUUGCCUGGUUGUGUUGAGUCGCGCCGCCAUGCCUGGCCGCCGGAAAACCCCGCUGCCGUCGCCGGAAAACUCUUCCGGCGCCAUUGCCGGAGUCUGGUCACCGCUACUACUUGAGGUGGCUGCCGGGCUGCUGCCGAACCGGUUCGGAGACCGCCGCUGUUCCGGUUUAGCCAUUCCUUCUUCGGUUCGAGUUGUUGAGACUGUUGCGAAAGUGGCUUGGAACAGAGGUUUUGGCUGCCGGGAUUUUGAGGUUUUGAG